GAUGAACGCCGGCGGCGUGCCUAAUACAUGCAAGUCGAGCGAACAGACGAGGAGCUUGCUCCUCUGACGUUAGCGGCGGACGGGUGAGUAACACGUGGAUAACCUACCUAUAAGACUGGGAUAACUUCGGGAAACCGGAGCUAAUACCGGAUAAUAUAUUGAACCGCAUGGUUCAAUAGUGAAAGACGGUUUUGCUGUCACUUAUAGAUGGAUCCGCGCCGCAUUAGCUAGUUGGUAAGGUAACGGCUUACCAAGGCAACGAUGCGUAGCCGACCUGAGAGGGGGAUCGGCCACACUGGAACUGAGACACGGUCCAGACUCCUACGGGAGGCAGCAGUAGGGAAUCUUCCGCAAUGGGCGAAAGACUGACGGAGCAACGCCGCGUGAGUGAUGAAGGUCUUCGGAUCGUAAAACUCUGUUAUUAGGGAAGAACAAAUGUGUAAGUAACUAUGCACGUCUUGACGGUACCUAAUCAGAAAGCCACGGCUAACUACGUG
rnacentral:rRNA from 1 species